CGUGUAGGCGGUUUCGUAUGUCUGACGUGAAAGCCCCGGGCUCACCCCGGGAAGUGCGUUGGAAACUGCGAGACUAGAGUCCCGGAGAGGAAGGUGGAAUUCCAGGUGUAGCGGUGAAAUGCGUAGAUAUCUGGAAGAACACCGGUGGCGAAGGCGGCCUUCUGGACGGUGACUGACGCUGAGACGCGAAAGCGUGGGAGCAAACA
rnacentral:rRNA from 1 species